AGACGUAGGUGGCAAGCGUUACUCGGAAUCACUAGGCGUAAAGCGCAUGCAGGCGGAUGUUUAAGUCUGUCGUGAAAUUUCCCGGCUCAACCGGGAACGGUCGACAGAAACUGGAUGUCUUCAGUGGGACAGAGGAAGCUGGAAUUCCCGGUGUAGCGGUGAAAUGCAUAGAUAUCGGGAGGAACACCAGUGGCGAAAGCGGGCUUCUGGGUCUCUACUGACGCUGAGAUGCGAAAGCUAGGGGAGCAAACAGGAUUAGAUACCCUGGUAGUCCUAGCCGUAAACGAUGGAAACUAGGUGUGGGAGGUAUCGACCCCUUCCGUGCCGACGCUAACGCAUUAAGUUUCCCGCCUGGGGAGUACGGCCGCAAGGUUAAA
rnacentral:rRNA from 1 species